CCUACGGGAGGCAGCAGUGGGGAAUUUUCCGCAAUGGGCGAAAGCCUGACGGAGCAAUACCGCGUGAGGGAGGAAGGCUCUUGGGUUGUAAACCUCUUUUCUCAGGGAAGAAUAAUGACGGUACCUGAGGAAUAAGCAUCGGCUAACUCUGUGCCAGCAGCCGCGGUAAUACAGAGGAUGCAAGCGUUAUCCGGAAUGAUUGGGCGUAAAGCGUCCGCAGGUGGUUUUAUAUGUCUGCUGUUAAAUAGUUAGGCUUAACCUAAUAAAGGCGGUGGAAACUAUAAGACUAGAGUACGUUCGGGGUAGAGGGAAUUCCCAGUGUAGCGGUGAAAUGCGUAGAGAUUGGGAAGAACACCAGUGGCGAAGGCGCUCUGCUAGGACUGUACUGACACUGAGGGACGAAAGCUAGGGGAGCGAAUGGGAUUAGAUACCCCAGUAGUCCUAGCCGUAAACGAUGGAUACUAGGCGUUGUCUGUAUCGACCCGGACAGUGCCGUAGCUAACGCGUUAAGUAUCCCGCCUGGGGAGUACGCAGGCAACUGUGAAACUCAAAGGAAUUGACGG
rnacentral:rRNA from 1 species